UCUUAAAGUGGGUGUAUAAUCCAGUGUAGGUGGGUUUCUGACAACACCUGACAUCAAAAUAUUUUUCUUCAUUGAAAACAUAUGUCAUAAGAAAGGAUAGAGCAGAGCAUUGUUGGCUUUCACAGGUAUUAAAGCAUGUCAUUGUGUAUUUUCUGAAAGCAACAGAUAUUUUUUUAUUAUUAUUUUGGAGUGGCAUGGUGUGGACAGAGAGUAAAAUGACACAGGAGAGGACUGGUCGAGGGGGGAUAGCACCAGAUACUGAAGUAGUGGCAAGAUACAACUAUGAUGCAACAUCUGAAAUAGAUUUGUCAUUUCAAAAGGGUGACAUUAUGACAAUUAUAAAAGCAACUUCGGAUCCAAAUUGGUUACGUGCUCGACAUGCUGAUGCAAGGGAGGGUUUUAUUCCUGCCACCUAUAUUCAAAGGAGAGCGGAGGUGAAGUUAAAUGCUAUGCCGU